UCGGGGCUAUAGCUCAGCUGGGAGAGCACCUGCUUUGCAAGCAGGGGGUCGGCGGUUCGAUCCCGCCUAGCUC
rnacentral:tRNA from 1 species